rnacentral:tRNA from 1 species
AGGAAAUUAGUCUAACCAAGACAGUUGACUUCGGCUCAACAGAUCAUAGUUCAACCCUAUGACUUCCUU